GAUGAACGCUGGCGGCGUGCCUAAUACAUGCAAGUCGAGCGAACGGACGAGAAGCUUGCUUCUCUGAUGUUAGCGGCUGACGGGUGAGUAACACGUGGAUAACCUACCUAUAAGACUGGGAUAACUUCGGGAAACCGGAGCUAAUACCGGAUAAUAUUUUGAACCGCAUGGUUCAAAAGUGAAAGACGGUCUUGCUGUCACUUAUAGAUGGAUCCGCGCUGCAUUAGCUAGUUGGUAAGGUAACGGCUUACCAAGGCAACGAUGCAUAGCCGACCUGAGAGGAUGAUCGGCCACACUGGAACUGAGACACGGUCCAGACUCCUACGGGAGGCAGCAGUAGGGAAUCUUCCGCAAUGGGCGAAAGCCUGACGGAGCAACGCCGCGUGAGUGAUGAAGGUCUUCGGAUCGUAAAACUCUGUUAUUAGGGAAGAACAUAUGUGUAAGUAACUGUGCACAUCUUGACGGUACCUAAUCAGAAAGCCACGGCUAACUACGUG
rnacentral:rRNA from 1 species